rnacentral:rRNA from 1 species
CCUACGGGCGGCAGCAGUGAGGAAUAUUGGUCAAUGGACGAGAGUCUGAACCAGCCAAGUAGCGUGAAGGAUGACUGCCCUAUGGGUUGUAAACUUCUUUUAUAUGGGAAUAAAAUGUUCCACGUGUGGGUUUUUGUAUGUACCAUAUGAAUAAGGAUCGGCUAACUCCGUGCCAGCAGCCGCGGUAAUACGGAGGAUCCGAGCGUUAUCCGGAUUUAUUGGGUUUAAAGGGAGCGUAGGUGGAUUGUUAAGUCAGUUGUGAAAGUUUGCGGCGCAACCGUAGAAUUGCAGUUGAAACUGGCAGUCUUGAGUACAGUAGAGGUGGGCGGAAUUCGUGGUGUAGCGGUGAAAUGCUUAGAUAUCACGAAGAACUCCGAUUGCGAAGGCAGCUCACUGGACUGCAACUGACACUGAGGCUCGAAAGUGUGGGUAUCAAACAGGAUUAGAUACCCGAGUAGUC